rnacentral:rRNA from 1 species
GAUGAACGCUGGCGGCGUGCCUAAUACAUGCAAGUCGAGCGAACUUUUCGGAGCUUGCUCCCAACAGUUACCGGCGGACGGGUGAGUAACACGUGGGUAACCUGCCUGUAAGACUGGGAUAACUUCGGGAAACCGGAGCUAAUCCCGGAUAACAUUGAACACCACAUGGCCUGCACUUAAAAGGUGGCUUUUAUCUACCACUUACAGAUGAACCCGCGGCGCAUUAGCUAGUUGGUGAGGUAACUGCUCACCCAGGCGAGGAUGCGUAGCCGACCUGCGAGGGUGAGCUGCCACGCUGGGACGGAGACACGGCCCAGACUCCUGCGGGAGGCAGCAGUAGCGAAUCCUUAGGGAAGGAAGAAAGGGUGAAGGAGGAACGCCGCGUGAGCGCAGAAGGCCGCCGGGUCGCAAAGCUCAGUUGUUAGGGAAGAACAAGUAUCGUUCGAAUAGGGCGGUACAAUGACGGUACCUAACGAGAAAGCCACGGCUAACUACGUG